GAGGAUUCUAGAACUUGUUUUUUUUGUUAUUAAGACCAACUUUACGUAGACAAUUUAGUCUUAUUACUAGAUUAAACCUGACAUUGGCUAAAAGAUGAUCUGACGCGUCCAACAGUGGAUGGCUGCCUGAUUGUGUGUUAUGCCAGCUGGACUGUUAUUUUAUAAGACUGUUGAGCAUCUUUUACUUACAAAUCUAAAAGCUGAUGCUAUGACACUCAAUAGCUUAGAAGAAAUCCUGUCAGUUUUAUAUGGUUAUGACAAUAAUCUUUAAUAAAUAAGUCUUAUACAAGGACAAUAAAGAUUAUUAUUAUUAUUA
rnacentral:sRNA from 1 species